rnacentral:rRNA from 1 species
UACGUAGGGUGCAAGCGUUGUCCGGAAUUAUUGGGCGUAAAGAGCGUGUAGGCGGCCCGAUUAGUCCGCUGUGAAAGUUCAGGGCUCAACCCUGGAAUGCCGGUGGAUACUGUCGGGCUAGAGUCCGGAAGGGGCGAGUGGAAUUCCUGGUGUAGCGGUGAAAUGCGCAGAUAUCAGGAGGAACACCAGUGGCGAAGGCGACUACCUGGCCUGUUCUUGACGCUGAGGCGCGAAAGCUAGGGGAGCAAACGGG